rnacentral:rRNA from 1 species
UACGGAGGGUGCGAGCGUUAAUCGGAAUUACUGGGCGUAAAGCGCGCGUAGGUGGUCAGAUAAGUCGGGUGUGAAAGCCCUGGGCUUAACCUGGGAACUGCAUUCGAUACUGUCUGACUAGAGUAUGGUAGAGGGAAGUGGAAUUUCCGGUGUAGCGGUGAGAUGCGUAGAUAUCGGAAGGAACAUCAGUGGCGAAGGCGGCUUCCUGGACCAAUACUGACACUGAGGUGCGAAAGCGUGGGGAGCAAACAGG